CGAACCCCGUGGCGGCAGCGCCGUGAAUACGUAGGGGGCGAGGGUUGUCCGAAGUGACUGGGCGUAAAGCGCGCGUAGGCGGGCUGUUAAGUGAGAGGUGAAAGGCUGGGGCUCAACCCCAUGCAGUGCCUCUCAUACUGGCGGUCUUGAGUGCGGCAGGGAGAAGUGGAAUGGCUGGUGUAGCGGUGAAAUGCGUAGAUAUCAGUCGGAACACCGGUGGCGAAGGCGGCUUCUUGGGCCUGGACUGACGCUGAGGCGCGAAAGCUGGGGGAGCGAACGGGAUUAGAUACCCCAGUAGUC
rnacentral:rRNA from 1 species